ensembl:lincRNA 9330158H04Rik uncharacterized LOC110296618
GAGUGGGAGAUUCUGGACCUGGAGCAAGGGGCAAGGGUCUUCCUGCGGUGGGAAGCUUUGGAGCAGUGGAGUUGCAGGAACAGGCUCACAGGGACCCCGAAGUGACACAAGAAUAUGAGAGGGCAGCUUGGGUGAUGUGUCAGCGAGCAAUUUUACUUGCCUUCCGUGUUUACUUCCAUUUCUCUGCCCUCCUCCCAGCUCUUGGCAGCGAGUACUUCUCUCCAUGGACAUUUGCACACAAGCUCCCAAGUCUGCAUCACAUAAAGGGACUGAAAGACCGGUCGACCCUCCCUUGCACUAUUUGGAGGCCCAGGAGAGCCGUAAGGGCGUAGAAGGACCAGAGAUAGAAAGGAGGAUGCAUAUAUUGUAGAAGAACAGAGGCAGAGUAUCCCCCUGCCCCCAUAGAUGUCAAUUUGGGUGAAUUCUUACCCCUAGAGCGCCCUGCAAAGCAACUCCCCCUGCUUGCUAGGCUUCUGACACUCCAGGGACAUGGAAGGGUGGAGCGCACAGGUGGAAUUUCUGUAUUUUCUAUCUGCAACCAGGUUUGGACCGCACCUCGCUCGCUCCCAGAGCCACAAGUUAGAGAUGAUAGCCUAGCUCCUCAGGUGCCAACAGUAAAGGUCAUUUGUGUUAUUCUCUAUCUAAGACCGGCAGAGUGGUCCAGUACCCACCAUGAGUUGGGAUUCCAAGCUCCUGCAGCGUCUGAGACUUCAUCAGCUCUGGACUGGGGUCCCUUUCCUCAGCCACAGUGGACAAUCAACCUUGCGCGCGUCAGCGGAGGAAAAUAGGCUUGCAGAGGACUCCCUUCUCUCUCCUCCUGGAAACCUUCCCCAACCUUGUUCCCCCGCCAAGGUCCGGGAACAACAGCACUAAACCUGUCGUCCUCACCAGAAGGCUCUCUCCCAAGGCGGAGUCAGAGGACAGCGUGGAGUGGUGGCGAGAGGGGCCUCCACCCUAAAUGCAGUGUGCCCAGACCCCAGGGAUUAGUUGCCGUUGAAGGGGGCUCCGCCAAUGAAAUCUUCUCUGCGCUCUGAUUUGGCGGUUCUUCGGUGCAAAUAUGACAGCUUUCUCUCUCAGCUCUUUUCUGCAUCUCUCCAUGUCCGACCCCGGAGCUCAGUUCUCGGUCUGCAAUUUCUACACCACAACCUUUGCAAUCACCACCACCACCACCACCACCACCCCUAGGUCCCAUGUCAGCAGGUGCCAGGUUGCUACAAAGGUGACAGGGCACAUUGGGAAGAAGGCUUGUUGAUUGCAGAAGAUACUUAUGCCCCGUAUUUCCAGGUGGGGAAAUGUUAGAAUAAAUGCAAUGUACUUUGUACUAAAUAUAUAGUCAUGGAGAAUUGUUCAGAUUGUUUAUUCCUUUCUUUGAUGCUAACUAAUGUAUUAGAAAGACACAGAAAUUUAUCUGUCUUUGCUGUUUUGUUUUUUCUUCUUCCCACACAGGUCAACGCCUGUGUGUUCCAUCAGUUAAUGGGGAGUAGUAGUUAAGAGAGUAUACUAGUGAGGCUUUGGUGAGACGGGAUUUUGCUGUCUAUCGAGGAAAAUAAAAGAUGUGAACUUCCUGUGUUC